CAGUCGCCACGGUAAUACAGAGGGUGCGAGCGUUAAUCGGAUUUACUGGGCGUAAAGCGUUCGUAGGCGGCUUUUUAAGUCGGAUGUGAAAUCCCUGAGCUUAACUUAGGAAUUGCAUUCGAUACUGGGAAGCUAGAGUAUGGGAGAGGAUGGUAGAAUUCCAGGUGUAGCGGUGAAAUGCGUAGAGAUCUGGAGGAAUACCGAUGGCGAAGGCAGCCAUCUGGCCUAAUACUGACGCUGAGGUACGAAAGCAUGGGGAGCAAACAGGAUUAGAUACCCCGGUAGUCCCUGUCUCUUAUAC
rnacentral:rRNA from 1 species